rnacentral:rRNA from 1 species
GACAGAGGGUGCAAACGUUGUUCGGAAUUACUGGGCGUAAAGCGCGUGUAGGCGGCCAAGUGUGUCGGAUGUGAAAUCCCACGGCUCAACCGUGGAAGUGCAUUCGAAACUGCUUGGCUGGAGUUUCGGAGAGGAAGGCGGAAUGCUUGGUGUAGAGGUGAAAUUCGUAGAUAUCAAGCAGAACACCUGUGGCGAAGGCGGCCAACUGGACGAGUACUGACGCUGAGACACGAAAGCGUGGGGAGCAAACAGG